AACCCAUGCAUCAGACAUUUCUGCAGUAAUUCUUUAAAUCUUUCUCAAGAUUCAUAAAUUGUUUCAUCCUCUAAUUGUCAAAAAGACGUAAUGCCAUUUCUAAGCUU
rnacentral:snoRNA from 1 species